UUUGUUGUGCUCAUAAUCAGUGUUGCCGUUUUGUCUUAUUUUCGGCCAGAUCUGGCUUUUUUUUAAGUGCAAUUGCGGAAAAAAUUUGGAAAAUCUGGCAUAUAUAUGAAUCGAAUCAGCUAAUAUAUAUUUUGUUUAAUAUCUGAUAUUAAUUACCGAUUAAUAGACAAACUAACAAGCUGGUAACUAUUAAAGGCUAACAUCACAAGUUCUGCAAUACUUUCAUCCCUACAGUUAGACAGAUUUUCUGUUGCGCUUCGCAUACAUUCGUUACCUUGGUGGAAUGCCGAAGUUGAAGGGAUGAACAUUGAUACGUUAACCAUAAGAGUUUUUCUAAACUGCCUCAAAUCGAUCGCAAUCAAGGAAUAUCUAAAUUAUGAUACCGAAGAGUCUGUAGACUAUCUAUUGCUAGAUUUAUCAUCAAUGAAAACAUUUAAAAUGUAUAAUGUUAAAAUUUCUAUUAUUUUGGUUUGGUUUCUUAAUGAAUAUGAAAUGUUUGUUACAAUAUUUGUACGUGUACCUAUCUAUUACAAUAUAAAAAAAAAAGAAACAAUUCUAAAAUAUUACCUUAUUUUUCAACUAAUUGUUUUUGGGAUUUAACUUAUUUUUACUUAUUUUUUGUCCUGAUUCAGUUAUUUUUUCUCGGGCAAAAACGGCAACACUGCUCAUAAUGGAUGCAAAUAACUAACGGAACAUGAAAAUUUAAUUGUAGAGUCACUCAAAAACUAUUUUAAACAUUCAUUUCAAAAUAAGAUAGCUUUUCUAUAUAUUUAACUUUUUAUACCAGAUUUAUUAUUAUUUUUACAAUACCUGGACUCCCCUCCAAAUUUA